rnacentral:rRNA from 1 species
GGCAAAUUUGAGUGUACUUGGUAAAGAAGCACCGGCUAACUCCGUGCCAGCAGCUGCGGUAAUACGGAGGGUGCAAGCGUUAAUCGGAAUUAUUGGGCGUAAAGGGCGCGUAGACGGGAAGGCAAGUCAGAUGUUAAAGCCCGGGGCUUAACCCCGGAAAAGCAUUUGAAACUGCCUUUCUUGAGGAUAGACGGAGAAAACGGAAUUCCACAAGUAGCGGUGAAAUGCGUAGAUAUGUGGAAGAACACCGGUGGCGAAGGCGGUUUUCUAGUUUAUUCCUGACGUUGAGGCGCGAAAGCUAGGGGAGCAAACAGGAUUAGAUACCCUGGUAGUCCUAGCUGUAAACGAUGUAUACUUGGUGUAGCCGGAAUCAACCCUGGCUGUGCCGUAGCUAACGUGUUAAGUAUACCGCCUGGGGAGUACGCUCGCAAGGGUGAAACUCAAAAGAAUUGACGGGGACCCGCACAAGCAGUGGAGCAUGUGGUUUAAUUCGAUGCAACGCGAAGAACCUUACCUGGGCUUGACAUGCAUUGGACCGCUCUAGAAAUAGGGCUUCCCUUCGGGGCCGGUGCACAGGUGCUGCAUGGCUGUCGUCAGCUCGUGCCGUGAGGUGUUGGGUUAAGUCCCGCAACGAGCGCAACCCUUGUCACUAGUUGCCAACACGUAAUGGUGGGAACUCUAGUGAGACUGCCUGGGUUAACCAGGAGGAAGGUGAGGAUGACGUCAAGUCCGCAUGGCCCUUAUGUCCAGGGCUACACACGUGCUACAAUGGACGGUACAGAAGGCAGCUUAGCCGUGAGGUAAAGCAAAUCCUAGAAAGCCGUUCCCAGUUCGGAUUGUAGUCUGCAACUCGACUACAUGAAG